rnacentral:rRNA from 1 species
AACGAACGCUGGCGGCAGGCUUAACACAUGCAAGUCGAGCGCCCCGCAAGGGGAGCGGCAGACGGGUGAGUAACGCGUGGGAAUCUACCCAUCUCUACGGAAUAACGCAUGGAAACGUGUGCUAAUACCGUAUACGUCCUUCGGGAGAAAGAUUUAUCGGAGAUGGAUGAGCCCGCGUUGGAUUAGCUAGUUGGUGGGGUAAAGGCCUACCAAGGCGACGGUCCAUAGCUGGUCUGAGAGGAUGAUCAGCCACACUGGGACUGAGACACGGCCCAGACUCCUACGGGAGGCAGCAGUGGGGAAUAAUGGACAAUAGGCGCAAGCCUGAUCCAGCCAUGCCGCGUGAGUGAUGAAGGCCCUAGGGUUGUAAAGCUCUUUCACCGGUGAAGAUAAUGACGGUAACCGGAGAAGAAGCCCCGGCUAACUUCGUGCCAGCCGCCGCAGUAAGAC